CACAAAAAAUAUUCUCGUCGCUUUAUAAUAUUAAUAUUGAACCACUGUACUCACAUGAACUAAUUUAAAUAUGUUUUUAGUACCUUUAUGGAUCUUGAGAGAGGAAAUAUCAUUGCAGGCUAUGCAGGCCUCGAGCCAUCGGAGUUCAACAAAAAUAUCUUAAUUUGCGUUCCGAAGAUUAACGGCUGUGGAACGGCAUGAGCUGACGUUGUGGCAGCAGGAAGCCAUUCAUCAUGACGGCCCACUGGAUGGCUAUGGCUGCUAACAGCACAUUAAACCCUGAUCCACUGAAACCAUAUCGUACAAGGAACGUGGCCAGGAAUCCAAACC